rnacentral:rRNA from 1 species
ACGGGGGGGGCAAGCGUUGUUCGGAAUUACUGGGCGUAAAGGGCUCGUAGGUGGCCAACUAAGUCAUACGUGAAAUCCCUCGGCUUAACCGGGGAACUGCGUCUGAUACUGGAUGGCUUGAGGUUGGGAGAGGGAUGCGGAAUUCCAGGUGUAGCGGUGAAAUGCGUAGAUAUCUGGAGGAACACCGGUGGCGAAGGCGGCAUCCUGGACCAUUACUGACACUGAAAAGCGAAAGCCAGGGGAGCAAACGGG